GGGAAUCUUAGACAAUGGGGGCAACCCUGAUCUAGCCAUGCCGCGUGAGUGAUGAAGGCCUUAGGGUUGUAAAGCUCUUUCAGCUGGGAAGAUAAUGACGGUACCAGCAGAAGAAGCCCCGGCUAACUCCGUGCCAGCAGCCGCGGUAAUACGGAGGGGGCUAGCGUUGUUCGGAAUUACUGGGCGUAAAGCGCACGUAGGCGGACUGGAAAGUUGGGGGUGAAAUCCCGGGGCUCAACCUCGGAACUGCCUUCAAAACUAUCGGUCUGGAGUUCGAGAGAGGUGAGUGGAAUUCCGAGUGUAGAGGUGAAAUUCGUAGAUAUUCGGAGGAACACCAGUGGCGAAGGCGGCUCACUGGCUCGAUACUGACGCUGAGGUGCGAAAGCGUGGGGAGCAAACAGG
rnacentral:rRNA from 1 species